rnacentral:rRNA from 1 species
UACGGAGGGUGCGAGCGUUGUCCGGAAUCACUGGGCGUAAAGCGCACGUAGGCGGAUUGUUAAGUCAGGGGUGAAAUCCUGGAGCUCAACUCCAGAACUGCCUUUGAUACUGGCGAUCUUGAGUCCGGGAGAGGUGAGUGGAACUGCGAGUGUAGAGGUGAAAUUCGUAGAUAUCGAGAGGAACACCGGUGGCGAAGGCGGCCUUCUGGACAGUGACUGACGCUGAGACGCGAAAGCGUGGGGAGCAAACAGG